rnacentral:rRNA from 1 species
UGAGGAACAUGACCUUCGGCGGGGGAUAGCCGGCCCAACGGCCGGGUAAUACCGCGUACGACCACAUGGGGACAUCCCUGAGUGGUGAAAGCAGCAAUGCGCCGAUGGAGUGCCUCGCGGCCUAUCAGCUAGUUGGUGAGGUAACGGCUCACCAAGGCGACGACGGGUAACUGGUCUGAGAGAAUGGCCAGCCACAUUGGGACUGAGACACGGCCCAGACUCCUAGGGACGG